rnacentral:rRNA from 1 species
AAUAUUGGACAAUGGGCGCAAGCCUGAUCCAGCCAUGCCGCGUGAGUUAUCAAGGCCUUAGGGGUGUAAAGUUCUUUCAGUGUGGAAGAUAAUGACGUUACCCACAGCAGGAGCCCCGGCUAACUUCGUGCCAGCAGCCGCGGUACUACGAAGGGGGCUAGCGUUGUUCGGAUUUACUGGGAGUAAAGCGCAUGUAGGCGGAUUGGUCAGUUAGGGGUGAAAUCCCGGAGCUCAACUCCGGGAAUGCAUUUAAUACUGACAGUCUAGAGACCGAAAGAGGUGAGUAGAACUCAUAGUGUAGAGGUGGAAAUCGUAGAUAUUAGGAAGAAAACCAGUGGCGAAGGCAGCUCACUGGCUCGGUACUGACGCUGAGGUGCGAAAGCGUGGGGAGCAAAC